CGUGCAGGCGGGCGUGCAAGUCUGAUGUGAAAGCCCCCGGGCUUAACCUGGGAAGUGCAUUGGAAACUGCACGUCUUGAGUUGCGGAGAGGAAGGGGGAAUUCCCGGUGUAGAGGUGAAAUUCGUAGAGAUCGGGAGGAAUACCAGUGGCGAAGGCGCCCUUCUGGACGACAACUGACGCUGAGACGCGAAAGCGUGGGGAGCAAACAGGAUUAGAUACCCUGGUAGUCCACGCUGUAAACGAUGAGCACUAGGUGUAGCGGGUACUCAUUCCUGCUGUGCCGCAGCUAACGCGUUAAGUGCUCCGCCUGGGGAUUACGGUCGCAAGACUAAA
rnacentral:rRNA from 1 species